GUUUAAAUUUUUGUUUUAAAACAGUGCCCAAAUAUAUAUUCAAUUACAUGGCCAAACGAGAUCAAAGCAUAGUUGAGUUCGCAACUUAUGACGGUAAUUUCUGUAAGGCCCAUUUCCCGUAUGUCCAUCCUCCACGGAUGAACGGAUCAACGGGUUCCACUCCGACCGGUAAUCAGUACCUCCUUUUAUCGCAUAUCUGUGUAGUAAAGCGACGACCAAGCCCGAUACAACAAGCAAACACAGAAAUAGACGCCUUACGGUUAUCAUCGAUGAACUAGGGUUUCGAGACAGAAAUACGAGAGAUGAUCAUAUUCAUAUUACAGACGUAUUAUCACAUUCUUGUUUUUUUUCGGCUUUUCGCUUUUUAGCUUCUGCAUUUCUUUGGCAGAUCGCGCUUAACUCCUUUGUUUGUCAGACAAGAAUAAGGGAAGGAACGGAAUCCUUAUAAUAUAGGGUUUUUGUCAUAAAAUCCCUUAAUUUUACACAAAAAAAACCGAUUAUGCCUAAAGUCGGCUUUUUUGCCACAAAUGCCUCAAAUACCAGAAAAUUGAUUCGAUUUUUCCCUUCUCCCUGAUUUUAACUUCUAUGGCCGGUAGCCCACCUGGUCUUCUUCUCAAACCCUCUCUGCCUUGAUGCCUUCACCACCAUCUUCGAUUUUUCCCUUCACCACUGUCUGCUUCUUCUAUCGACGGGAUCCAAAGAAACAAGAAAAAAAAUCACAACUCUCUCACUCUCCAAAAUCGAUUAAAGGUUCUUCUUCCACUUCUGAUUUUGCAGCUCUCUCACUCUCUUCUCUUACUUUGUAUUAUCGAUCCACACUCACCCAGUAAGACCUCCGUCUUCAAGCAUCGUAUGCAAUACAAAGGAUCACACGGAUUGAUUUGGACCUGCAAAUUAAUUCAUCAAUGAAAAAGAGAACUUGUGUUCUUAAUUCAUCAAGAUUAUCAAACACAAGGGUGCUAGAAUUGAGAUUAGUCCCUAUGAUUUGUAGGUCUCUCUUUUCUUGCUUUGUAUUAUCAAUCCACACUCACCAAGAUUCACAGCUUCCUUCUCCUUUUUUUCCCUCAAAUUGCAUAAAAGAAUCGAGUUUCAUCCUUUAGGUCGACUAAUAGGUUAAAUAUUUCUUUAUUACUUUCUGUGUGUGCACUCUUCUCAGAAAGAAACUGACUUCAAAAUUGAAGUAUCAAUCACCUUCUUUUUCUCUUAAUCGAUGGUGGACUAAGGUGAUGGCAAUGUUGUUUAUAUGGGUUAAUGUUUUUUUUAGAUUUUUAUGUUGCAAUUUUUGUUUUUAGUGUCCAGAUGUGCUUAUCAGGGCUAGAUGGAGUUUUUGUAGGUGGUAUACGUUGGUUCUGAAAGGUGAAAUGGGAUGAUGGUCUUUCACAUUUGGGUUCACCGAACACCCACCUUCAUCAUCAUCAUUGUUGUUCUUUCUAUUGAUAACCUGCAACUAGUUAAAAAGAAGGGGAUGGGUUGAUUUUGUAAUCCAUCGUCUUUCAUGGCACCUGCUCAACUAGAAAUUGAAAAUUGAUAUGUAGAUCAUUGAUUUGUUUCCGAUCAGAAGAUAGGAGAGAAAGAGAGAGAGAGAGAGAGAGAGAGAGAGAGAGAGAGAGAGGAUAUCGAUUUUGAUGAUCGAUGUGGUGGGGAUGGUGGAUGAUGGACGGUACUGGUGGUGGUUUGUGUGUAGCUGAUGGUGGUGCUGGUAGCAAAAGGUGGUGAUGGUGGAAAAGUGUGGUGGUGUAGGUGAUAAGUAAAUAUAAGGGCUUGUAUUACAAAUAAAAUUAAGGGCUUUUAUGACAAAAAAAAAUCCCUUAAUAAAUAGUAUAAAAGAAUGUCACACGAUUUAGUUGUAUGGUUAUUUUCAAUUAAUUUUUUUCCACAUUGUAUUUUGUGGUUUUUUCGUUUUAUUAAUUUUCACAUAAUAUUUAAAUGCAAUAAUUACAAUAAAUGUAAUAAUAAAUGUAUAUUUAUCUAAGUUAUUUGUUUAAUUUAAAAAAAAAACAAACAAUUUAAUUUUAAUAAUUCAAUAUUUUUUUUAUUUUUCUUAUAAAUUCAAACUUCUCAAAUGUUUAGAAUUUUAUAUUUUUUUCCUUUUAAAAGUCCGCAUGAGUCUUACACCUAAUCUGGAAUUAAAGGGUAAUGAAAAAGAAAAAAAUAACUCAUUCUUCAUUCUUGAAGCAAAUCCCAUGUUUUCAUUGUACCUUUUGUUUUGUUUUUUUUUUUUUAAUUUCGUACGCUCCCCAUAAUCGUAUCUUCCUAAAUUGCCCUCUAUCAGCCUCUCAUAUAGGAAGCGUAUGCACAAUAUCACUAAAAAUAAGCAUCCUAAUUUCAAGUGAUUGAAGAAAAAUAUCGAUUUUGCACUUGAGGAUGAUCACAAUCGCAGCGCUUUCCCUCAAAAUCGCAGAGUAAUUUCCAACCAAAUCGUUAUAAAAUUGUUUCCUGUGACGCAUUACAUAAUCAACCAUCAAAGCUUCAAGGUAAUUUCAAGUAUAUUUCAUCACGACUCCAAGAAUUUAGAGCAACGUCGGGCCUCAAUGUGUGGUGAAUACCUGUCUACUGAUUCUCUGAGAAUACAAGUGGUUUUGAAAAGUGUCAACAAUUAAGUUGGUGAGUUCAUAAGCAUUUAGUGCGAGAAGGAUUUGUAACGUUUUUAAGAAAAUGAUUUUUGUAUACUUCUAGAAAAUCUGAUAUUUCCUUUAAAAACGAGUUGUAAGUCUUAUACCCAAGACUAAAAAUACAUGUAUUUUCUUUGUA